UACGUAGGGUGCGAGCGUUAAUCGGAAUUACUGGGCGUAAAGCGUGCGCAGGCGGUUCGUUGUGUCGGCGGUGAAAGCCCCGGGCUUAACCUGGGAAUGGCCGUCGAAACUGGCGAACUGGAGUGCGGCAGAGGGGGGUGGAAUUCCGCGUGUAGCAGUGAAAUGCGUAGAGAUGCGGAGGAACACCGAUGGCGAAGGCAGCCCCCUGGGCUGACACUGACGCUCAGGCACGAAAGCGUGGGGAGCAAACAGG
rnacentral:rRNA from 1 species